UACGGGGGGAGCAAGCGUUGUUCGGAUUUACUGGGCGUAAAGGGCGCGUAGGCGGUCAGCACAAGUCAGUUGUGAAAUCUCCGGGCUUAACUCGGAAAGGUCAACUGAUACUGUGCGACUAGAGUGCGGAAGGGGCAACUGGAAUUCUCGGUGUAGCGGUGAAAUGCGUAGAUAUCAGGAGGAACACCGGUGGCGAAGGCGGCUCUCUGGACCUGUCCUGACGCUCAGGCGCGAAAGCUAGGGGAGCGAACAGG
rnacentral:rRNA from 1 species